GAGACUAUAAGUCUCCUGAAGGAACGUUAAAGACGAUGACGUUGAUAGGCCGGGUGUGUAAGCGCAGCGAUGCGUUGAGCUAACCGGUACUAAUGAACCGUGAGGCUUAACCUUAC
rnacentral:rRNA from 1 species